rnacentral:rRNA from 1 species
AGAGUUUGAUUAUGGCUCAGAUUGAACGCUGGCGGCAGGCCUAACACAUGCAAGUCGAGCGGUAGAGAGAAGCUUGCUUCUCUUGAGAGCGGCGGACGGGUGAGUAAUGCCUAGGAAUCUGCCUGGUAGUGGGGGAUAACGUUCGGAAACGGACGCUAAUACCGCAUACGUCCUACGGGAGAAAGCAGGGGACCUUCGGGCCUUGCGCUAUCAGAUGAGCCUAGGUCGGAUUAGCUAGUUGGUGAGGUAAUGGCUCACCAAGGCGACGAUCCGUAACUGGUCUGAGAGGAUGAUCAGUCACACUGGAACUGAGACACGGUCCAGACUCCUACGGGAGGCAGCAGUGGGGAAUAUUGGACAAUGGGCGAAAGCCUGAUCCAGCCAUGCCGCGUGUGUGAAGAAGGUCUUCGGAUUGUAAAGCACUUUAAGUUGGGAGGAAGGGCAGUUACCUAAUACGUGAUUGUUUUGACGUUACCGACAGAAUAAGCACCGGCUAACUCUGUGCCAGCAGCCGCGGUAAUACAGAGGGUGCAAGCGUUAAUCGGAAUUACUGGGCGUAAAGCGCGCGUAGGUGGUUAGUUAAGUUGGAUGUGAAAUCCCCGGGCUCAACCUGGGAACUGCAUUCAAAACUGACUGACUAGAGUAUGGUAGAGGGUGGUGGAAUUUCCUGUGUAGCGGUGAAAUGCGUAGAUAUAGGAAGGAACACCAGUGGCGAAGGCGACCACCUGGACUGAUACUGACACUGAGGUGCGAAAGCGUGGGGAGCAAACAGGAUUAGAUACCCUGGUAGUCCACGCCGUAAACGAUGUCAACUAGCCGUUGGGAGCCUUGAGCUCUUAGUGGCGCAGCUAACGCAUUAAGUUGA